rnacentral:rRNA from 1 species
UGGGGAAUAUUGGGCAAUGGAGGCAACUCUGACCCAGCAACGCCGCGUGAGGGAAGAAGGUUUUCGGAUUGUAAACCUCUGUCCUAGGGGACGAAGAAAGUGACGGUACCCUAGGAGGAAGCCCCGGCUAACUACGUGCCAGCAGCCGCGGUAAUACGUAGGGGGCAAGCGUUGUCCGGAAUUACUGGGCGUAAAGGGUGCGUAGGCGGUUUAAUAAGUUAGAUGUGAAAUCCCCGGGCUUAACUUGGGGGUGGCAUUUAAAACUGUUAAACUAGAGUGCAGGAGAGGAAAGCGGAAUUCCUAGUGUAGCGGUGAAAUGCGUAGAUAUUAGGAGGAACACCAGUGGCGAAGGCGGCUUUCUGGACUGUAACUGACGCUGAGGCACGAAAGCGUGGGGAGCAAACA